AGUGUGUGUUGGUUCCUCGUUCCUCGUAUUCAAAGGGGAACUUGAGCUUCACUUGCAGGCCGCAGCAGAUCUACAUCACUGCACCAUUUGUCUCUGUACCAGGUUAAUGAUAUAAAACAAAAUUCAAAUUUAAUGUACAAUAUGGAAUAUGCACUUGGCAAUUUAUGAAGUUUCUGCAACACGCUUAGGAAUAGUUUCUCCUCAGACUCCAAUUACUGUUUUGCUGAUUAGUUCACUAACACAAAAUGGCACUGAGAAUGGUUGCAAGUAAUAUGAGAACUACGCUUUUGCCAAGUCAUCGACAUUCAGAAAAGAAAUGCUAUCCACACUCAGACCAAGACAGAACUUUCACUUGUUCGAAGAGCAAUUAAGGUGAAGCAGGAUCGGGAACGACUCACUCCGGAAUAUAUGUUUCACAUCAUGCUUCAAGUUUUGGAGGCAAAUCUGUGAUGAUCAAGGUGUUGCUAGCCUCCAUUACUGCCAACUCUGUAUGCAUGGGUUUGCAACAAUGAGGAUCUUGUACUGCUUCAUGAUAGUAUGUAGGUUCAAAGAUUUUGUUGGAAUUGGCUAUAAAUUUUUGGUAGUGAUCAGAAAAUAUGACAUGAAUCUACGUAAGUGAGAUAACCAAAGUACCAAACACAACAUUAGAAUUUGUAAGCCAAUUGUACCGUAAUCCUGUGUUUGUCAUUGCUUCUCAACUACUAGGUCAGCCUCAGCUCAAAUUCUGGCAUCUAGUGUUAAGAAUAUAGGUGUCCCGCCUCCACCAAGUAGAAUUCUGUGGUGGUACACCCUGCACUGUUAUAGUGCAGCUUUCCGAGUACAUUGCAAGUAUUUGCCAAUAAUGUUCUAUAUAUACUCUGUAGAAUAUUCUUCUAGUUGCUUCUCCCAUUUCCAAGUGUCUUAUAUAGAGAUCUGCUACAUUCCAUCAUAUUCGAAAAUGCCCUAGACAGAUCUGGACAUCCCUAGAAUUUAGGUAGAAAAUAACCUGUUCAAUAAAAAGGAGGGGUGCCCUUAUCAGCCCUUGCACUCGUAGAUGGUUCUGGUAGCCGGGACCCGGUGUCAGAUGCCUGGCACCGUAGUGCCUUGAGGCUUUAUAGGCUUUGCGUCCCUGACACGCAGCCAUGUUAGGCCAUAGGUUAGUGAUGUAGGGCAUGCAUUUUUUUGUUAACUGUUAUAUUACUCGAUAUUAUUAAUUUGUUUGUGUCAGGGUGGUUUGAAUGGGGAAAAGAUUUCUGACUUGAAUUGAGCCAUGUGGAAUAUCCAGGUUUCGAGCACUGAUAUGAUUAUUACUCAUUCUCUGUCGUCCAACCAUAGGGGAGCUAGUUGCAGGAGAUCAGAAUUCUAGCCAGUCCUUGGUCCGCAAAAUUUCCUCACAGAAUAUCUUUCGUUCAGUGAUUGCAGAAGCUGGAUCUUUAAAUGUGAAAUAUGAAAAUCUUGUUGGAGUGGUAGUUGCAGAUCAUUCUGCAUUGAAGUUGGUAGAGGAGAAAUUGCAAAGUUUAUAUGGGUUAUAUGAUUCAACGAUUGCAGAUGCUCAACUUCAGAAAGUAGGAUAUGGAAAUUCAUUGCCAUUCUUGGUUCAAGUUUGAAUGCCUUAAGAACAUACUUGAUGUUGUAUCAGUAGGAGAUGGAAACACAAUCUCUAGCUCUCCACAAAAAAUUCUUAGGGUUCGGCUUGUUGUGGGAUGAUCAUUCCUUCUAUAUACAGCAUUCGCGAUGAUUCUCAUAUCAAAAACAACUGCUCCUUUAUCGCGUCGGUCACUUUCUAUAUCUUUCUCCCAUGCGGCUCCUGCGAUGUUCUUUUGAUGCGCAUUUGGUAUUUGAAACUUGAAACUGAUACUCCCUCUUUCAGUUUUUGCCAAUACAAAAGGAUUCACAUAAUUGGUGUCCAGAAGAUUAUCUUCAUAGACCAAUGCAGCUUCAACGUACUCAUAUUGAACUUCAUACCGCUCGCUUGGAUUUCUGACACUCAUGUUUGCGCUCAAUGUCGCGUUUAUCCCGGUGUUAUCAAGUCUGAAAACUGUCAUGUUUAAUGAUUGUGCGUAAAAUACAGGAAUAUCAGAGCCAUAAAUAAGCCAGGCUAGGAGGCUUAGUACUGUUACUCCAAAAAAUAUCAUGAUCAAGACCACAAGAAACACACGAGCAAAUUUGUAACCCGGGCUUCUAUGAGGAGGUCCGAUUAAUACAAAGUUUUGUGCAGUGGUGGGGUAAUAGCCGGGUGGUGUAGGUUUCACGGGACCAUAAUGGUAAUCAGAUUUAGGGUAGACAGGAUAUGGAGGAUGGGCUUGAUAUGGUGGUGGAAAAGGAUAUCCCUGAGGUGGUGGUGGUGGUGGUGGUUGUGACAGCUCUGUUACAAAUUUUUCAGACUUGGGAUCACCUUCCGAGGAGGAAUCAUCCUUAGUUUCUCCCUCUCCCAUUCCAUAGGCAUCAAGAGAGAGAAUAAAGAUGAGAGAUGAAUCAAUGUUAUGUGAAGGUUGGAAUUGUAGAAAGAAAGAGAGGAAGAUGAGGUGAAAAUGUUAAGACAAUUAUGCGAUGAUAUGCGUUUUUGGAUAGUUGAGCUUUGUUUUGUUGAGCCAUGCAUGAAAUACAUUUACAAAUCAUUGGUCGAAAAUGAGAUGUAAUUAUGUAAAGAAUGGUGUACAUAGAAUAGAAGCAGGAGGACACAUGGAGGUUUGGGGUAUGUUCAGGUUCAAGUCACAAAUACUUUUGUUCAUAAUUUCAACAAUUUCAUCUCAUAAUUUUUAUCUUAACCACAAAAUGCAUCUAUUAGAUCA